AUACGUAGGGAGCAAGCGUUGUCCGGAAUUACUGGGCGUAAAGGGCGCGUAGGCGGGAAUUUAAGUUAGAUGUGAAAGCACCGGGCUCAACCCGGUGACUGCAUUUAAAACUGGGUUUCUUGAGGGCAGGAGAGGAAAGUGGAAUUCCUAGUGUAGCGGUGAAAUGCGUAGAUAUUAGGAGGAACAUCAGUGGCGAAGGCGACUUUCUGGACUGUACCUGACGUUGAGGCGCGAAAGCGUGGGGAGC
rnacentral:rRNA from 1 species